AGGAGCUCUCGCCUCCUCUCAUUUCUACUCCGCCCCGGCAACGUCGGCAAUAGAAAAUGAACAAGUGAAGGCCUGGCCUGGCUGUGAUACAAGCCUGAUUGGCAUGUGCGCCCAUGACUGCGAGCGGCCGCAGCCGAGCCGACGUCGUGGAGGGGAGCAACAGCCAGCACAACUGCCGGCCGGCCAGCCAGCGGGGCGGAAACCAUAGGAAAAGCGUGCCAUGUCGUGCAUGCACGCACGCACGCACGCACAGGAACAAAAAGCCACGCUCGCAGUUGGCUUUACCGUCCCCAACCCCUCCCCCUAAAAAAUCCCGGUCGUUGCUUUCAGCUGGCUUUAUUUCACGGAAGAAAAAGGAAUUCCUCCUCAAUCCCCUUUUCGUACUACUAGUUUGGAUUUGGAGUAGUGCUAGUAGUGUGGGAGUGCUAGUUUACUGCUCGCAGGCAGCUGCGGCAUCCGGCAUCCCCCAUCUCGUCCUUGUCCUUCCCUCCCUCACUUGGCUUGCCCGCAUCCGCAUCCGCGUGCACCAGUCGCCACCGAUCGUGCGUCGGUUGCUCUCUCCACAUCCAGCGGAAAACUACGCCUCCCCCACCGCGCGCAGCCCCCUCCCUCCCUCCCUCGUAUCUCCGUAUCUCCGGGUCGGGGGUGGGUGAUGCGGUGAGGCGAGGUGUACUCUGCUUUCCCUUUUCGGCGGGGGCAGCAGCAGCAGCGGCAGCUUGAUCGGAGAGGGAGGGCGGCGGAGUCGUGCGCGCGCGACGGAGCGGAGCGGGCGGCCAUGGCCGCGGCGGCGGCGAGGUGCAUGAACGCGGCGUGCGGCGCGCCGGCCCCGACGGCGGCGGGGGUGGGCGAGUGGCGGAAGGGCUGGCCGCUGCGAUCCGGCGGCUUCGCCGUGCUCUGCGACAAGUGCGGGUUGGCGUUCGAGCAGCUUGUCUUCUGCGAUAUAUUCCACCAAAAGGAGUCUGGUUGGAGGGACUGUUCGUUUUGUGGGAAGCGUCUCCAUUGCGGCUGUGUUGCUUCGAAGAAUUCCUUUGAUCUGCUUGACAGCGGAGGAGUUCAAUGCGUGAAUUGCAUGAAGAAUCCAGGACCUCAACCUGUUCCAUGUCAAGUGGCUCCAAAGCUUUUUUUACCUCCUCAAAAUAACCAGAGACUCUUUGGUAAAAGCGAUGAAUUUUUGCCAGGUAGACCGUUGGAGUCGCCGUCCCUUAUGCUCGAUUCCAGAAAUGAUGAUAUUGCUAUUAUAGCUAAGAGCAAUCAUCCAUUCAUGGUAAAAAACUUGGAAAUUGGGCAAAGCAGUAACAUUUUGAGGCAAAAGGAAAUUGAAAAUGGCGCAAGGCAGAUUAAGUGGGAGCAACCAACACUCAGUAUUGGGGACAUGGGAAGGAUGCCUUUCUUAAUUAGGCCUCAGAGUGCAUUAGAGUCUCCCCAAUCCCAGUGUACACGAAGAGAUGAUAAUAGAGACCCGACAGCCGAUAGCACAACAAGUGAAUCAAUUUCAGAGGCAGGCCUCAGUAUGAGCUUGGGCAUUGCUAAUAAUGGAAACAAGAUGGAGGCUACUUCAACUAUGGAAAGACCCAUGGUGUCACCAACAACACCGUUUUCUGAAGGAAGAGAACUUGCCACUACAUUAUCUCCAUUUCAGCAUGCGCAGAGGGCUCGGCAUUUUCUCACCAGACCACCAAGGGUUGCCGAAGGUGCUGCUUUCGACCCAAUGAGAGAUGGUUUUCCACAUCUUCGUGUUGCCAGACCACCUGCUGAAGGAAGGGGUCGCAAUCAAUUACUUCCACGGUAUUGGCCAAGAAUAACAGAUCAAGAGCUGCAGCAAAUUUCUGGAGAUUCGAAUUCAACCAUCGUUCCACUGUUUGAGAAGGUUCUAAGUGCUAGUGAUGCAGGCCGCAUAGGACGACUUGUUCUUCCAAAAGCCUGUGCCGAGGCCUAUUUCCCACCAAUCUCUCAGCCAGAAGGUCGUCCCUUGACAAUUCAAGAUGCAAAAGGCAAAGAGUGGCAUUUUCAGUUCAGAUUCUGGCCAAAUAACAACAGCAGAAUGUAUGUCUUGGAGGGUGUUACGCCAUGCAUACAGUCCUUACAAUUACAAGCUGGUGAUACAGUGACCUUCAGUCGGAUAGAACCUGGAGGGAAACUUGUUAUGGGCUUCCGAAAGGCCACAAACACUGUCAGUUUGCCAGACUCACAGAUUUCAGCCAUUGCAACUGGUUCCCUUCUCGGUGAUUCAUUCUUUUCUAACACAAAUGAGAAUCUAUCCAUAGUAAGUGGUUACUCAGGAUUUCUUCAGUCAAUGAAGGGAGCUGCAGAUCUCCAGCCAAGCUCUCUAUUUGAUCAUCAUGCCAACUCAGCUGAUGGGGAUGUUAGUUGGCUUAAGGCAGAUAGAUUUGGUGGCAGGCCAGAUGAGGGGUCUUUUCAGUUUUUACACAAAAGAAGCCGCAAUAUUGGUUCCAAAAGCAGGAGGCUUUUGAUGGAUAACGAGGAGGCCCUGGAACUGAAGCUUUCCUGGGAAGAGGCACAGGAGUUGUUGCGUCCUGCUCCAUCUGCAAAACCAACAAUUGUGAUGAUUGAGGACUAUGAAUUUGAAGAAUAUGAUGAACCUCCUGUCUUUGCAAAGAGAUCAAUUUUCACCAGUCGUUCUACAGGGGAACAAGACCAAUGGAUUCAGUGUGAUGAUUGCUCAAAAUGGCGUCGUGUGCCUCUUAAUGUCAUUAUUGCCUCCAAGUGGAGAUGUGCUGACAACACAUGGGAUCCAAAAAGCUGUUCCUGCUCUGCACCUGAAGAAUUAGCCCACAAGGAGUUACAAAGUAUUCUCCAGCAGUACGAAGAGAUCAGGAGGCGGAAGAGCAACUAUUUCUUGAAGCAGAGCAUCCCCGAAAUGGAUGCGUCGAGCCUUGACGCCUUGGCCACUGCCGCAGUCUUUGGGGAGGUCGGGAACCAAGGCGCUGCUUCGGUUGCAACGACCACCAAGCACCCCCGGCACCGGCCCGGCUGCACUUGCAUAGUGUGCAUCCAGCCGCCCAGCGGCAAGGGGCCGAAGCACAACCCGGCGUGCACUUGCAACGUGUGCAUGACCGUCAGGCGCCGUUUCAAGACGCUCAUGAUGAGGAAGAAGCAACGGCAGUCGGAGCGAGAGGAGGCCGAGGCGAGCAAGAGGAUCGCUUGGGUGGGCAGGGACGAGCCCGAGGGAAGCAACCUGUCGCGGUCCCCCCGGACGGUGGACACCACGCGGGACUGCGACGUGAUCAUGUUCGACAAGGCCGACGCGAACAAGGGCCACAUAGACCUCAACUUCCACCCCGCCAGCCGCGAGGAGGAGCAGCAGCACGGCGGCCAGCCCCGGGUGAGCAUGGUCAGCCUACUUGAGGUCGCGAACCGCCCCCUGGAGAGCUACAUGAAGCAGAACGGCCUCGUGAGCCUGGCGGCGGAGCAGGGGAGCAGCUCCGGCACGGCCACGGUCCCGUCUCAGCCCGCUCCGAUGGAGAGCGAAGAGCGGCCCUCCGACGAGGGGCGUGCCGUGGCGGUGGAGCAGGAGCGAGAGCCCGUGGACAACAUGGCCGUGGACGAGGCAGCCGGUGAGAACCAGGGCCAUGCUGCCAGUGCCAGUGACAUCGCUGCUGCCUGACCUGAGCUUGUUGACCAUGCGCCUGUGUUAGUGGGUGGGUGUUUGUAAUUUGUUUGUGUGUGUGUAUGAUCGGCUUACCCCCUUUUUUCCCCAAGGAACAGCUAGUGCGUUUUGAUGUGAAGAUCAAAAUGAUAGGGUUUCCUCGUGUUGGUGUAACAUACGUGUACAGGGCUGUGCAACCUCGUUUGUACUAAAGUUGUAAGCUCGGUUGGUAUGAAAGGCAGCUUGGUGGCUGGCUGGUUGGUGUUGUUCCCCACGCCUAAGAGCAACUCCAACGGGCUGCUGACCCAAACGGACACCGA
rnacentral:rRNA from 1 species